CUCUCCCAAUUGUUGUCAUGUGCUGAAAAACUACAUAUCACAGUGGUUGAGAGAGCG
rnacentral:pre_miRNA from 1 species